rnacentral:rRNA from 1 species
GUGGGAAUCUACCUUGAACUACGGGAUAGCUCCGGGAAACUGGAAUUAAUACCGUAUGUGUCCUUCGGGAGAAAGAUUUAUCGGUUCAGGAUGAGCCCGCGUCGGAUUAGCUAGUUGGUGGGGUAAAGGCCUACCAAGGCGACGAUCCGUGGCUGGUCUAAGAGGAUGAUCAGCCACAUUGGGACUGAGACACGGCCCAAACUCCUACGGGAGGCAGCAGUGGGGAAUAUUGAAAGGUGGGCGCAAGCCUGAUCC